rnacentral:rRNA from 18 species
UUUUCUGAGAAUUUGAUCUUAGUUCAGAUUGAACGCUGGCGGCGUGGAUGAGGCAUGCAAGUCGAACGGAAUAAUGACUUCGGUUGUUAUUUAGUGGCGGAAGGGUUAGUAGUACAUAGAUAAUCUGCCCUCAACUUGGGGAUAACGGUUGGAAACGAUCGCUAAUACCGAAUGUAGUGUAAUUAGGCAUCUAAUAUAUAUUAAAGAAGGGGAUCUUCGGACCUUUCGGUUGAGGAAGAGUUUAUGCGAUAUCAGCUUGUUGGUGGGGUAAAAGCCCACCAAGGCGAUGACGUCUAGGCGGAUUGAGAGAUUGACCGCCAACACUGGGACUGAGACACUGCCCAGACUCCUACGGGAGGCUGCAGUCGAGAAUCUUUCGCAAUGGACGAAAGUCUGACGAAGCGACGCCGCGUGUGUGAUGAAGGCCUUAGGGUUGUAAAGCACUUUCGCCUGGGAAUAAGAGAGAUUGGCUAAUAUCCAAUCGAUUUGAGCGUACCAGGUAAAGAAGCACCGGCUAACUCCGUGCCAGCAGCUGCGGUAAUACGGAGGGUGCUAGCGUUAAUCGGAUUUAUUGGGCGUAAAGGGCGUGUAGGCGGAAAGGAAAGUUAGAUGUUAAAUUUUGGGGCUCAACCCCAAGUCAGCAUUUAAAACUAUCUUUCUAGAGGAUAGAUGGGGAAAAGGGAAUUCCACGUGUAGCGGUGAAAUGCGUAGAUAUGUGGAAGAACACCAGUGGCGAAGGCGCUUUUCUAAUUUAUACCUGACGCUAAGGCGCGAAAGCAAGGGGAGCAAACAGGAUUAGAUACCCUGGUAGUCCUUGCCGUAAACGAUGCAUACUUGAUGUGGAUGGUCUCAACCCCAUCCGUGUCGGAGCUAACGUGUUAAGUAUGCCGCCUGAGGAGUACACUCGCAAGGGUGAAACUCAAAAGAAUUGACGGGGGCCCGCACAAGCAGUGGAGCAUGUGGUUUAAUUCGAUGCAACGCGAAGGACCUUACCUGGACUUGACAUGUAUUUGACAACUGUAGAAAUACAGCUUUCCGCAAGGACAGAUACACAGGUGCUGCAUGGCUGUCGUCAGCUCGUGCCGUGAGGUGUUGGGUUAAGUCCCGCAACGAGCGCAACCCUUAUCGUUAGUUGCCAGCACUUAGGGUGGGAACUCUAACGAGACUGCCUGGGUUAACCAGGAGGAAGGCGAGGAUGACGUCAAGUCAGCAUGGCCCUUAUGUCCAGGGCGACACACGUGCUACAAUGGUUAGUACAGAAGGUAGCAAGAUCGUGAGAUGGAGCAAAUCCUAAAAGCUAGCCCCAGUUCGGAUUGUAGUCUGCAACUCGACUACAUGAAGUCGGAAUUGCUAGUAAUGGCGUGUCAGCCAUAACGCCGUGAAUACGUUCUCGGGCCUUGUACACACCGCCCGUCACAUCAUGGGAGUUGGUUUUACCUUAAGUCGUUGACUCAACCUAUUUAUAGGAGAGAGGCGCCCAAGGUGAGGCUGAUGACUGGGAUGAAGUCGUAACAAGGUAGCCCUACCGGAAGGUGGGGCUGGAUCACCUCCUUUN